GAAGCGAAACCGCGAGGUGGAGCAAAACCCAAAAAAGCAGUCUCAGUUCGGAUUGAAGGCUGAAAUUCGCCUUCAUGAAGCCGGAAUUGCUAGUAAUCGCGAAUCAGAAUGUCGCGGUGAAUACGUUCCCGGGUCUUGUACACACCGCCCGUCACACCAUGGGAGUCAGCAACGCCCGAAGUCAGUGACCUAACCGAAAGGGAGGAGCUGCCGAAGGCGGGGCCGGUAACUGGGGUGAAGUCGUAACAAGGUAUC
rnacentral:rRNA from 1 species